GCCGGGAUAGCUCAGUUGGUAGAGCAACGGUUUUGUAAACCGUAGGUCGCGAGUUCAAGCCUCGCUCCCGGCU
rnacentral:tRNA from 1 species